UAGGGAAUCUUCCACAAUGGACGCAAGUCUGAUGGAGCAACGCCGCGUGAGUGAAGAAGGUUUUCGGACCGUAAAGCUCUGUUGUUGGUGAAGAAGGAUAGAGGUAGUAACUGGCCUUUAUUUGACGGUAAUCAACCAGAAAGUCACGGCUAACUACGUGCCAGCAGCCGCGGUAAUACGUAGGUGGCAAGCGUUGUCCGGAUUUAUUGGGCGUAAAGCGAGCGCAGGCGGAAGAAUAAGUCUGAUGUGAAAGCCCUCGGCUUAACCGAGGAAUUGCAUCGGAAACUGUUUUUCUUGAGUGC
rnacentral:rRNA from 1 species